UACGUAGGGAGCAAGCGUUAUCCGGAUUUAUUGGGUGUAAAGGGUGCGUAGAUGGAUAAACAAGUUGUUUGUGAAAUACCUCGGCUCAACUGAGGAACUGCAAGCAAAACUGUAUAUCUUGAGUACUGGAGGGGAAAGCGGAAUUCCUAGUGUAGCGGUGAAAUGCGUAGAUAUUAGGAGGAACACCAGUGGCGAAGGCGGCUUACUGGACUGUAACUGACGUUGAGGCUCGAAAGCGUGGGGAGCAAACAGG
rnacentral:rRNA from 1 species